rnacentral:lncRNA from 1 species
AAGGAUGGGUAAGGAGUAAAAAGUCAAGAAGUUGAGAAUUUUUGAGCAUAUUUGCAGCAGGCCCAAAUGAUUCAAGAUACUUGUGGGUUGAAAAGCAGGGUGGAAGAAUGUCGCGCUUUUCAAAUUUGGUUAAGAAUCGAGUAAGCUCGAUGUAGGAAUUAAAAUAUAGAACAGAACCAUCUUGAUAGGGAUAGUUCGGA